rnacentral:rRNA from 1 species
UGGGGAAUAUUGCACAAUGGGCGAAAGCCUGAUGCAGCGACGCCGCGUGAGGGAUGACGGCCUUCGGGUUGUAAACCUCUUUCAGCAGGGACGAAGCGCAAGUGACGGUACCUGCAGAAGAAGCACCGGCUAACUACGUGCCAGCAGCCGCGGUGAUACGUAGGGUGCAAGCGUUGUCCGGAAUUACUGGGCGUAAAGAGUUCGUAGGCGGUUUGUCGCGUCGUUUGUGAAAACCAGCAGCUCAACUGCUGGCUUGCAGGCGAUACGGGCAGACUUGAGUACUGCAGGGGAGACUGGAAUUCCUGGUGUAGCGGUGAAAUGCGCAGAUAUCAGGAGGAACACCGGUGGCGAAGGCGGGUCUCUGGGCAGUAACUGACGCUGAGGAACGAAAGCGUGGGUAGCGAACAGG